UACGUAGGGUGCAAGCGUUGUCCGGAAUUAUUGGGCGUAAAGAGCUCGUAGGCGGUCUGUCGCGUCUGCUGUGAAAACUCAGGGCUUAACCCUGAGCUUGCAGUGGGUACGGGCAGACUAGAGUGCGGUAGGGGAGACUGGAAUUCCUGGUGUAGCGGUGAAAUGCGCAGAUAUCAGGAGGAACACCGAUGGCGAAGGCAGUUCUCUGGGCCGUAACUGACGCU
rnacentral:rRNA from 1 species